rnacentral:tRNA from 1 species
GGAAAAGUGGCAGAGCGGUUGAUUGCAACGGUCUUGAAAACCGUCGACGCCGGAAGGCGUUCGGGAGUUCGAAUCUCUCCUUUUCCGCCA